CAGACGUCUGUCACAGCAUCAGAAGGACUAUGAGCAUCUUCACAGACUCCUGCUUGGUUUCACACCAGUCAACAGCAAAAUGAGCAAUUAAUGUGGUCAGAUAUAAGAUUGGUCCUGAAUUAAGAAAGACCCAGCCUGGCUAAUUCCUGGCAUGAUCUCAUGAUCUUGGUGAAAUGUCUGAUCUGACAUGGCAUUACUUGGAUCUGUGUGGAUUUGAGAGUCUGGAUUCUUCAGGAUCAAGCACUGACCCUGCAGAAAGCGGUCCAUCCCUCAGCCUGCAACGUAGAGAAUACCAACAUGCAAGCUUAAGGACUGUAACAGAAAUUGGAAAAGAAACAUGAAGACUUGCCUUCAUUUUAACCUUAGAGAAAAGUUUACCUAUCUUCAGAAUUUACAGUUUUUUACUGUUUAUAAAGUGCUGAAGAACGGCUACAUUCUACUGAGCCAUGUAAUAAUUGUUUACCAUUCCAGUACAGUUUGUUUUGUAAUUUUAACCAGCUAGGAUUAGAGGUAAUUUAAUUUCUAAUUAAAUGCUUGUGAUCUGACAAGCAGGAAACUGAGAUAUACGUGAAGAGCUACCUCCUUCAAAUAGAAGAACUGCUUUUUCUUGACAAAGAGUUACUUCGCAAUAGACUGAACAGAAUCGGUUUAAAAUUGGAAUAAAUAUUUGUUUAUUGUUUUGUAGUGCAUUUACUAUCCCAGGUUGAUUGGAAACAUCAAAACAACACUUUGAAUCAUUCACCAAACUGAGACAAUUAUAAAACAUUUAAAAUGGGUCCCAAGAAGUAGCUAAAAUAAUAUUUUUGUGGCUGUGCCUGUCAUCUUCCUUCGUAUGCUUUAUACGCUAUUUAUAUACACCCUUUCUGUUUUCUCAGCAAUGCAGGUUUUGCCCUUGUGACAGUAGCAAUCACGCAUCACCUUUUUUCCAGGACCUUACUCACUGCGAGUAGCAGCCAGCAAAACCCCUCCAACCCAGAUGCAUGCUCCAGUUCAUCAAGAGUUGCUCCUCUGCUGGAUUUGUUGUUUUUCCUACUUUCUUUUGUAAGUUUAAGUAAAUACAAGCUGAGCAACUUGCUAGCUAAGACUUGUCUGAAAAUGCCCUUGGU
ensembl:lncRNA